GGCGAACGGGUGAGUAACGCGUGGGAAACCUGCCCUUGAGACGGGGAUAACACCUCCAACGGGGUGCUAAUACCGGAUAAGACCACGGAGUCGCAUGGCUCUGAGGUCAAAGGUGGCCUCUACUUGUAAGCUACCACUUAAGGAUGGUCCCGCGUCCCAUUAGCUUGUUGGUAGGGUAAUGGCCUACCAAGGCGACGAUGGGUAGCUGGUCUGAGAGGAUGGUCAGCCACACUGGACUGAGAUACGGCCCAGACUCCUACGGGAGGCAGCAGUCGAGAGGCUUCGUCAAUGGGGGAAACCCUGAACGAGCGACGCCGCGUGGGCGAUGAAGGCCGUUAGGUUGUAAAGCCCUGUCGAGUGGGAAGAAAUGCAGGCGGGCAAACAGUCCGCUUGUUUGACGGUACCGCUAAAGGAAGCUCCGGCUAACUCCGUGCCAGCAGCCGCGGUAAUACGGGUGGAGCGAACGUUGUUCGGAAUUACUGGGCGUAAAGGGCGUGCAGGCGGCUCGGUAAGAGGGAUGUGAAAUGCCCUG
rnacentral:rRNA from 1 species